CCCGGGCCUUGUACACACCGCCCGUCACAUCACGAAAAGUCGGCUGUACCAGAAGUCGGUGUUCUAACCCGCAACGGGAGGAAGCCGCCUAAGGUAUGGUCGGUAAUUGGGGUG
rnacentral:rRNA from 1 species